rnacentral:rRNA from 1 species
CUCGAGAAGGGCAAGUGUUGUUCGUAAUGACUGGGCGUAAAGGGUAUGUAGGCUGUUAAAUCGCAACAUGAUAUAAAAUGCUGUAUAAAAAGUAUAUAGAAAUAUUGAUUGUAAGUUUUAACUAGAAUUAUUCUCAGGAUCAAAGAAUUUUUUUUGUAGGGCUAAAAUCCGUGCUAGAAAAAAAAGAGAAUGCCGAAUGUGAAGACAUUGAUCUGGAGAUAAUUGACGCUGAGGUACGAAAGCGUGGGGAUCAAAUAGG